rnacentral:misc_RNA from 1 species
GCCAGCUGAUAAUGUGACAUACUCUCAUAAUCAUUGUUAGGUGCAUAGGUGGGCCCAUAUUACAUUCACAAGUUGAUGGUAAAAUUAAAAAUCAUAUUGAAUGAAAUGAUUAUGCAAGCAGAAUAGAAUAAAAACCACGCCACACACAAUGUACAGAGUACAGAAACACUCAACCCUUUCUCAAAGCUAUACACCAUUUGAAGAGAUGAGCAAACCACACAAAUCC